rnacentral:lncRNA from 1 species
UUGUAAUUUUAUAAAUAAACCCUAGAAGAAAGAAGUUGUACAAUCUCAGAAACUCAACCAACUUUGGCCAUUUGGGAUUGCAUGCUAGUGUGAUGAAUAAAUUUAGAUAACUAAUGCAUCCAUAUACAACCAUUGCAUCUUAAUAAUUUUGAAUCAUAUAUUGUGUCCCUCCAACAAAAGUUGAAGGAAAUACUACUCUUUUUUUAGCGGUAGAUGGAUUAGUUUCACCAGUAAGAAUUUCUUCAAACAAACAUUUGUACAUUUC